rnacentral:rRNA from 1 species
UGAGGAAUAUUGCGCAAUGGAGGAAACUCUGACGCAGCAACGCCGCGUGAGUGAAGAAGGCCCUCGGGUUGUAAAGCUCUGUCAGGUGGGAAGAACCCUCUGUAGUUGAAUAGGCUACAGAACUGACGGUACCACCAAAGGAAGCACCGGCUAACUCCGUGCCAGCAGCCGCGGUAAUACGGAGGGUGCAAGCGUUAUUCGGAAUUACUGGGCGUAAAGCGCGUGUAGGCGGUCCUGCAAGUCUGAUGUGAAAGCCCCGGGCUUAACCCGGGAAGUGCAUUGGAAACUGUGGGACUUGAGUACUGGAGAGGAUGGUGGGAUUCCCGGUGUAGAGGUGAAAUUCGUAGAGAUCGGGAGGAAUAUCAGUGGCGAAGGCGCCCAUCUGGACGGUAACUGACGCUGAGACGCGAAAGCGUGGGGAGCAAACA